GGCACUUAUAUGUGUUUGUUGAACUGAUAAGACAAAGAUGUAAAAGACAGGUACAAAAAUAGAUCUUUUAUAACCCAGAACCCAUUGUUCAGCAUGAGUUUUGAUACACAUAAGAAGGAAUAUC
ensembl:snoRNA